rnacentral:rRNA from 1 species
AUUCAUUUAAAGAGUGCGUAACAGCUCACUAGUCGAGCGUUCUUGCGCGGAAAAUAAUCGGGCAUCAAAUAUCUUACCGAAGCUUUGGAUACCAGUCUAGGACUGGUGGUGGUAGGGGAGCAUUCUAAACUGCAGUGAAGGUGUGUCGUGAGAUGCGCUGGAGUGUUUAGAAAAGCAAAUGUAGGAAUGAGUAACGAUAAAAUAGGUGAGAAACCUAUUCGCCGUAAGACUAAGGAUUCCGGGAUCUAUGUUAAUCAGAACCGGGUUAGUCGGGGCCUAAGGUGUAGCCGAAGGGCGAAGCCGAUGGGAAACAGGUUAAUAUUCCUGUACAUGUAUCAGCUGUGAUGGGGUGACGAAGGAGCGUAAGGUUCGCCCACUGACGGAAUAGUGGGUUGAAGGGAGAAGGCGUUGAAGAUAUAGGCAAAUCCGUAUCUGAGCUGAGACCUGAUAGUACACAAGUCCCUUGGGAUGAGUGAUAGUGACUGUAAGCAUACUUCCAAGAAAAACCUCUAAACUUCAGGCUGACACAUCCCGUACCGUAAACCGACACAGGUAGUCGAGGAGAGUAUCCUAAGGCGCUCGAGUGAUCCGUGGCUAAGGAACUAGGCAAAAUGGUCUCGUAACUUCGGGAGAAGAGACUCCCCUCGUGAGAGGGGACGCAGUGAAGAGGCCCAGGCGACUGUUUAACAAAAACACAGGACUCUGCAAAAUCGUAAGAUGAAGUAUAGGGUCUGACACCUGCCCGGUGCUGGAAGGUUAAGGAAGGGGGUUAGUGCGUAAGUGCGAAGCUCUUAACUGAAGCCCCAGUAAACGGCGGCCGUAACUAUAACGGUCCUAAGGUAGCGAAAUUCCUUGUCGGGUAAGUUCCGACCUGCACGAAUGGUGUAACGAUCUGGGCGCUGUCUCAGCCACGAGCUCGGUGAAAUUGAAGUAUCGGUGAAGAUGCCGAUUACCCGCAACGGGACGGAAAGACCCCGUGAACCUUUACUACAACUUCACAUUGAGCUUGAAUACAGGAUGUGUAGGAUAGGUGGGAGGCUACGAAGCUGUGACGCUAGUCAUGGUGGAGCCAACGUUGAAAUACCACCCUUCCUGUAUUUAGGUUCUAAUCCCUAAAAGGGAAACAGUGUGUGGUGGGUAGUUUGACUGGGGUGGUCGCCUCCAAAAAAGUAACGGAGGCUCGCAAAGGUACACUCAGCAUGGUCGGUAAUCAUGCGAAGAGCGUAUUAGUAUAAGUGUGCUUGACUGAGAGACCGACGGGUCGAUCAGGAACGAAAGUUGGCUAAAGUGAUCCGGUGUUUCCGCAUGGAAGGGACAUCGCUCAAAGGAUAAAAGGUACUCCGGGGAUAACAGGCUGAUCCCUCCCAAGAGCUCAUAUCGACGGAGGGGUUUGGCACCUCGAUGUCGGCUCGUCACAUCCUGGGGCUGGAGAAGGUCCCAAGGGUUGGGCUGUUCGCCCAUUAAAGUGGCACGCGAGCUGGGUUCAGAACGUCGCAAGACAGUUCGGUCCCUAUCUGUUGUGGGCGCAGGAAUAUUGAAGGGAGCUGAUUCUAGUACGAGAGGACCGAAUUGGACGUACCGCUAGUGUACCGGUUGUGGCGCCAGCUGCACCGCCGGGUAGCUAUGUACGGCAAGGAUAAGCGCUGAAAGCAUCUAAGCGCGAAGCCAUCCCUAAGAUGAGUAUUCCAGCACGUAAGUGUAAAGGACCCCAGAAGACUACUGGGUUGAUAGGUUAUAGGUGGAAGUGCAGUAAUGUGCGUAGCCGAGUAAUACUAAUUGUCCGACAGCUUCCUUU